rnacentral:rRNA from 1 species
GAUGAACGCUGGCGGCGUGCCUAAUACAUGCAAGUCGAGCGAACAGAUGAGGAGCUUGCUCCUCUGACGUUAGCGGCGGACGGGUGAGUAACACGUGGAUAACCUACCUAUAAGACUGGGAUAACUCCGGGAAACCGGAGCUAACACCGGAUAAUAUAUUGAACCGCAUGGUUCAAUAGUGAAAGACGGUUUUGCUGUCACUUAUAGAUGGAUCCGCGCCGCAUUAGCUAGUUGGUAAGGUAACGGCUUACCAAGGCAACGAUGCGUAGCCGACCUGAGAGGGUGAUCGGCCACACUGGAACUUAGUCACGGUCCAGACUCCUAAGGGAGGCAGCAGUAGGGAAUCUUCCGCAAUGGGCGAAAGCCUGACGGAGCAACGCCGCGUGAGUGAUGAAGGUCUUCGGAUCGUAAAACUCUGUUAAUAGGGAAGAACAAAUGUGUAAGUAACUAUGCACAUCUUGACGGUACCUAAUCAGAAAGCCACGGCUAACUACGUG